rnacentral:rRNA from 1 species
ACCAGUGGCUAGAGCACCUUUGCUCUGCCCGAUCCCAUCAGACCUCGGAAGCUAAGCAGGGAAGGGCCUGGUCGGUACUUGGAUGGGAGACCUUUUGGGAACACCAGGAAGCCCGGGUG